AGAGUUUGAUCAUGGCUCAGAUUGAACGCUGGCGGCAGGCCUAACACAUGCAAGUCGAACGGUAACAGGAAACAGCUUGCUGUUUCGCUGACGAGUGGCGGACGGGUGAGUAAUGUCUGGGAAACUGCCUGAUGGAGGGGGAUAACUACUGGAAACGGUAGCUAAUACCGCAUAACGUCGCAAGACCAAAGAGGGGGACCUUCGGGCCUCUUGCCAUCGGAUGUGCCCAGAUGGGAUUAGCUAGUAGGUGGGGUAACGGCUCACCUAGGCGACGAUCCCUAGCUGGUCUGAGAGGAUGACCAGCCACACUGGAACUGAGACACGGUCCAGACUCCUACGGGAGGCAGCAGUGGGGAAUAUUGCACAAUGGGCGCAAGCCUGAUGCAGCCAUGCCGCGUGUAUGAAGAAGGCCUUCGGGUUGUAAAGUACUUUCAGCGGGGAGGAAGGGAGUAAAGUUAAUACCUUUGCUCAUUGACGUUACCCGCAGAAGAAGCACCGGCUAACUCCGUGCCAGCAGCCGCGGUAAUACGGAGGGUGCAAGCGUUAAUCGGAAUUACUGGGCGUAAAGCGCACGCAGGCGGUUUGUUAAGUCAGAUGUGAAAUCCCCGGGCUCAACCUGGGAACUGCAUCUGAUACUGGCAAGCUUGAGUCUCGUAGAGGGGGGUAGAAUUCCAGGUGUAGCGGUGAAAUGCGUAGAGAUCUGGAGGAAUACCGGUGGCGAAGGCGGCCCCCUGGACGAAGACUGACGCUCAGGUGCGAAAGCGUGGGGAGCAAACAGGAUUAGAUACCCUGGUAGUCCACGCCGUAAACGAUGUCGACUUGGAGGUUGUGCCCUUGAGGCGUGGCUUCCGGAGCUAACGCGUUAAGUCGACCGCCUGGGGAGUACGGCCGCAAGGUUAAAACUCAAAUGAAUUGACGGGGGCCCGCACAAGCGGUGGAGCAUGUGGUUUAAUUCGAUGCAACGCGAAGAACCUUACCUGGUCUUGACAUCCACGGAAGUUUUCAGAGAUGAGAAUGUGCCUUCGAGAGCCGUGAGACAGGUGCUGCAUGGCUGUCGUCAGCUCGUGUUGUGAAAUGUUGGGUUAAGUCCCGCAACGAGCGCAACCCUUAUCCUUUGUUGCCAGCGGUCCGGCCGGGAACUCAAAGGAGACUGCCAGUGAUAAACUGGAGGAAGGUGGGGAUGACGUCAAGUCAUCAUGGCCCUUACGACCAGGGCUACACACGUGCUACAAUGGCGCAUACAAAGAGAAGCGACCUCGCGAGAGCAAGCGGACCUCAUAAAGUGCGUCGUAGUCCGGAUUGGAGUCUGCAACUCGACUCCAUGAAGUCGGAAUCGCUAGUAAUCGUGGAUCAGAAUGCCACGGUGAAUACGUUCCCGGGCCUUGUACACACCGCCCGUCACACCAUGGGAGUGGGUUGCAAAAGAAGUAGGUAGCUUAACCUUCGGGAGGGCGCUUACCACUUUGUGAUUCAUGACUGGGGUGAAGUCGUAACAAGGUAACCGUAGGGGAACCUGCGGUUGGAUCACCU
rnacentral:rRNA from 1 species